AUACUUACGUGGUGUAGAGAUACCGUGAUCAUGCAGGCGGUUCCCCCAGGGUGAGGCUACUCCAAUGCACUGCGGAGUGGUUGACCCUUGCGAUAAUUUUUAUUUUUUUAUAAGUUUUCACUUCUACCGUGUGUGACUUGCACAAAAUAUGC
rnacentral:snRNA from 9 species